CUUCCUGGUCUGGGAGCAGUUGGGAAUGAGGAUCCUUGUCUGGGCUGGAUUUGAGUUAGAUGGCUGUCAUGAGAUCAUAACUACCUUGUCAAUCAACAGGACAGCUCACCUGAAGAAGGCUGUUGGGAAAGGCCAGCUGAGGAGGAAGCCCCAUUGA
rnacentral:lncRNA from 1 species